CUUAGUCCCGUUCUUUUUUGAGCAGAAGCAGGAGCUCCACUAACCACUAGCCAGAUUUCCCUUUGCUCCUUUCCUUCACUUCCAAUUUUUAAAUCAACCCGUAAACCCACAAAGUUCAAUAGUUAAACAUCCAUUUCAACAAAAACCCUAACCCAAAAUGCAUUUCCCCCUUGCAAGAGUAGUAUAUUCAACUUUUAAAUGGGAGAUGAUCCAGUUCCUAUAGUAGAUACUAGGAGUCCUCCACUGGUCUAAGCUCCUUUCUAUCUUUAGUAUAGCAUGAGAACACUCUCACAAGAUACUGCCAAGGCAUGGAUUUAGAAUGGCUUGAACUUUCUCAUGAUGAACAUGAAAUAGAGAAACAGAAUGCACAUAGGGCAAAAGUAAAGGCACUGAAAGAUGACCUCUCACAGCUACGGUUGACAUGCUUGCACAUGAUGGGUCAACGACUAGAUGGCCUGAGCUUCAAGGAGCUGCAGCACCUAGAAGAUCAAUUAAAUGCAAAAGCUCAUUUAAGAGAAUGAAAAGCUGCGGAAACAGAUAGAUGAGCUUCAACGAAGUUCAUCAUUGUCAAAAUCGACAAUGCUGGAGUUUAAUCCAUUCGAAAGGAGAUUCUCUGUUGCAAGAACUGACAAAACUGCUAGCUAUGACGGAGGAGAGAAGGAAGAAGAAAGUGAUAAUGAUAUUUCAGUGACUUCAUUGCAACUUGGGCUAUCUUGUGAUGGUAAUAAGAAAAGGAAAGCAAGUAAGAGUGAAUCCAUGUGCAAUGAUUCAGAAAGUCAAUUGAGCUCAGAGUGAUUCACCAUGAGAAGAAAUUUUUUAUGUAGUCACUAUCCGCACAACUAAUAGGAUUUAAUCUUUAAUAAAGAUGGGAUUCAUAUGAACUCCAUCAUGAUUAGUUACUACAAUAAAAUUGUUGUAAUACAACAACUGUACUUAAAAAUUUAUCUAAUAAGAGAGAACCUUUUUUA